AUUGAUACGAAUAAAUUUAAAAAAAAAUAGAAAGGACAAUAGUGAGCAUUUUAGUUGCUUCAAAAAUUUUCGAUGAAUUACGAAUGGAGAUUAAAGGGAAUUAAGAUGGUAGGAAAACAGAUAAACGUUCCAGAACGGCUCUUAAUUAUCAGAAUGUUUGUGUUGUUCAGAUAAAACCAAUCGAGAUGAUAAAAAGCUGACCAAGAGUCAGUAAUAUUCUUCUUGGAAAGUCAAUGAUCUUAUCAAGCGAUCUCUGCCAGAAUAGGUUGUAACUGCAUUAGUAUAUUAAAUGAUACAGUUAUAAUUAUGGAGAGAGUAACUGUCAAACAGCGGGAGCAAUUUAAUCUAGUAACAGCACCGAAAACAUCGCGCAUCGCGAAUAAAGUCCAGAUUUAUUUUUAACAUAUUACGCAGACCUGAUUCCGGGAAUAUGUAUAAACGGCCACAAAUGCUACCAAGUAAAAUGUGAGUUCGAUGGAAUUCGAUGCUGAACUGAAAAAGAGAAACCUGAGCGGACUAAGACAUCUGUCAACGAAGAUGGAUAAGAGGGAAACGAUUUAGAGACCGAGCUGCUCGGGCAUGCCAAUUGUCGAUUUAAAUCGAACCAAUUGACCAUUAUUGAGUAGUAAUGGUUACAGAACCAAGUCCUGGGUUAAUUACUAUUGAACUGGGAUAUCCACACAUCUGUCGUUUAUUCGGUUAACGGAAGGAAAAACAAGACUUGUAAUGCUAAAAAGAAUUAACGUCUGUUUCGAUUUAUUAAAGUAUACCACCAAAGGAAUUAGAAUAUGAAAUUAGCUUCAAUGGAAAAUAGGAAUUUUUUUAAAUGUUAAAAGUGUGUUAAGCUAUUGUGGAAUGCGUUUACCUAAAAAAAAUUCAUUAUAUUUAUACUUAUGCAUUCUGAAAAUAUAGCAAAACACGAGCCACCGAUGAUCAGCGU